AGAGCGAACGUUAGCGGCGGGCUUAACACAUGCAAGUCGAGCGAGAAAGGGACUUCGGUCCCGAGUACAGCGGCGGACGGGUGAAUAACACGUAGGUAACCUUCCUUCCGGCGGGGGACAACGGUCCGAAAGGACCGCUAAUACCGCAUACGUUCCUUGGGACCUCGGUCCUGGGGAGGAAAGCCUCGCAAGGGGCACUGGAUGAGGGGCCUGCGUAGCAUCAGCUAGUUGGUGGGGUAAUGGCCUACCAAGGCGAAGACGCUUAGCUGGUCUGAGAGGAUGAUCAGCCACACUGGGACUGAGACACGGCCCAGACUCCUACGGGAGGCAGCAGUGGGGAAUAUGGACAAUGGGACGAAAGCCUAGAUCCAGCCAACGCCGCGUGAGUAGAUGAAGGUCCUUCGGGUACGUAAAGCUCGUGGUGGGAGGUACGAAGUAACCCGAGUAGAAAGAACGU
rnacentral:rRNA from 1 species